CGAACGGGUGAGUAAUGCGUGACCAACCUGCCCCAUGCUCCAGAAUAGCUCUUGGAAACGGGUGGUAAUGCUGGAUGCUCCAACUUGACGCAUGUCUUGUUGGAAAGUGUUUAGUGGCAUGGGAUGGGGUCGCGUCCUAUCAGCUUGUAGGCGGGGUAAUGGCCCACCUAGGCUUCGACGGGUAGCCGGCCUGAGAGGGCGGACGGCCACAUUGGGACUGAGAUACGGCCCAGACUCCUACGGGAGGCAGCAGCC
rnacentral:rRNA from 1 species